rnacentral:rRNA from 1 species
AUUAGCCUGCAUGUCUCAGUGCAAGCUAUACUAAAGUGAAACCGCGAAUGGCUCAUUAAAUCAGUUAUGGUUCCUUAGAUGAAAGACAGUUACUUGGAUAACUGUGGUAAUUCUAGAGCUAAUACAUGCAACUCUGUCCCGACCGGAGACGGAAGGGACGCUUUUAUUAGAUCAAAACCAAUCGGGCCCUCGGGUCCGUUUGCCUUGGUGACUCUGAAUAAAUUGUGGCAGAUCGCACGGUCCAAGCACCGGCGACGCAUCUUUCAAAUGUCUGCCUUAUCAACUGUCGAUGGUAGGUUUUGCGCCUACCAUGGUUGUAACGGGUAACGGGGAAUCAGGGUUCGAUUCCGGAGAGGGAGCCUGAGAAACGGCUACCACAUCCAAGGAAGGCAGCAGGCGCGCAAAUUACCCACUCCCGGCACGGGGAGGUAGUGACGAAAAAUAACGAUACGGGACUCAUCCGAGGCCCCGUAAUCGGAAUGAGCACACUUUAAAUCCUUUAACGAGUAUCCAUUGGAGGGCAAGUCUGGUGCCAGCAGCCGCGGUAAUUCCAGCUCCAAUAGCGUAUAUUAAAGUUGUUGCGGUUAAAAAGCUCGUAGUCGGACUUGUGUCCCACGCUGCCGGUUCACCGCCCGUCGGUGUCUAACUGGCAUGUUCGUGCGGACGUCCUGUUGGUGGCCUUUCCCGAGCUGUGUCCUUCGGAGUGUCUGGAUUCCGUCUGCCGCAAGGUGGAUUGGGCCUUCGCUUCGUGGCGCGGUGAGGAGGGCCUAUUCGUACCCUUCGUGGUGCUCUUAGCCGAGUGUCUCGAUGGGCCGACACGUUUACUUUGAACAAAUUAGAGUGCUUAAAGCAGGCAGCAGCCGCCCGAAUACCGAGUGCAUGGAAUAAUGGAAAUAGGACCUCGGUUCUAUUUUGUUGGUUUUCGGAAUCCCCGAGGUAAUGAUCAAUAGGGACAGACGGGGGCAUUCGUAUUGCGACGUUAGAGGUGAAAUUCUUGGAUCGUCGCAAGACGGACCGAAGCGAAAGCAUUUGCCAAGAAUGUUUUUCCUCUG